rnacentral:tRNA from 1 species
CGACGUAGCUCAGCUGGCCAGAGCACCGCUCUCGUAAAGCGGUAGACGCCUCUAGAAGUACCUGGAAACCGUGGUCUUUUCGGGUGUCGU